rnacentral:RNase_P_RNA from 2 species
UUGGCAAACGCUGUAUUUUAUAAUAUAGAGGAAAGUCCAUGCUCACAAUAACUGUGAUGUUAUUAAUGUUCGUGUUAAGGGAAAAAAUAACCUUAAGUAGUUUUAAAAAAAACUAACGGCUAUGAAAUAACCUAAGUAAUUAAUAUGGUUAAAGUAAUUAUAAAAGUGCUAUAGUGAUGAAUAAUCUGGAAACGGAUGAAGUGGAACAUAGUAAACCCCACGAGUGAGAAACCCAAAAUAUGGUAGGGGAGUUUAAGAAAAGAAAUUAAGAACUUAACUUAAAAUCGUAAGAUAGAUAAAUGUUUGCCACCUUUUAUGGUACAGAACAUGGCUUAUAA